rnacentral:snRNA from 1 species
GUCUCUUCGGAGACAUCCGAUAAAAUUGGAACCAUACAGAGAAGAUUGGCAUGACCCUGCGCAAGGAUGACACACACAAAUCGAGAUAUGGUCCAAAAAUAC